AUUGAACGCUGGCGGCAUGCUUUACACAUGCAAGUCGAACGGUAACAGGGAGCUUGCUCCGCUGACGAGUGGCGAACGGGUGAGUAAUGCAUCGGAACGUACCCAGUCGUGGGGGAUAACGUAGCGAAAGUUACGCUAAUACCGCAUACGUCCUGAGGGAGAAAGCGGGGACCGGUAAGGCCUCGCGCGAUUGGAGCGGCCGAUGUCGGAUUAGCUAGUUGGUAGGGUAAAGGCCUACCAAGGCGACGAUCCGUAGCGGGUCUGAGAGGAUGAUCCGCCACACUGGGACUGAGACACGGCCCAGACUCCUACGGGAGGCAGCAGUGGGGAAUUUUGGACAAUGGGCGAAAGCCUGAUCCAGCCAUGCCGCGUGAGUGAAGAAGGCCUUCGGUUGUAAAGCUCUUUCAGCCGGAAAGGAAAUACGCGCAGGAUAAUACUCUGCGUGGAUGACGGUACCGGAAGGAAGAAGC
rnacentral:rRNA from 1 species